rnacentral:rRNA from 1 species
ACGGAGGGUGCGAGCGUUGUCCGGAAUCAUUGGGCGUAAAGGGCGCGUAGGUGGCCCAGUCAGCGUGCGGUGAAAGCUCGGGGCUCAACCCCGAGUCGGCCGUGCGAACUGCUGGGCUCGAGCACUGUAGAGGCAGGCGGAAUUCCGGGUGUAGCGGUGGAAUGCGUAGAGAUGCGGAGGAACACCGAUGGCGAAGGCAGCCCCCUGGGCUAGCACUGACGCUCAGGCACGAAAGCGUGGGGAGCAAACAGGA